rnacentral:lncRNA from 1 species
UACCAUAUUUGCCCUUAAAUACCAAAUUUAUACCCUAUUACAUACAUAUGCCUCAUGAAGGUGGAAAAAGUAAAAAAUACCCUUAAAAAAUCAUGAAUCUACACAUUUCUUCCUCUCAUGGUUUCUUUCUCUCACCAUUCUUUUCUCAUGGUUUUCUCUUCUCACCAUUUUUUUCCGUUUUAAUGGUUCCGUUCUCCCUCAACACUUCAUUUCUCACCUCUAAUACAAAGGUUUUUAUAAAAAUAAAUUGUUCAAAAGAUGCAUUGUCAAGUGGUGGGUAAGAUAUGUUUGAAAUGCAACCUUUUUGUAUCCUUAGGGUUUGAUUUGACUUUAUUACAAGUAUGAUUGCUAAUGAUUUAUGAAUUUUAAUAGUACACUAUUCAUUUUUGUGCUUACACACACACUAUUGCAUAAAAUGUAGGGAUUUAAGACUCAAUUUAAGUUAUGAGUGAUUGAAAAAUCAGUCUAGGAAGAAGUCGAGUACAAAGUCGGGUAAGUCAAGAAUUUAGUCGAGUGAGAAGUGAAGGAGAUGAGUAAGUCGAGUAUCCGGUUGAGUAGGAAGUCAAGUAAAUAUAUUAAACGAGUCAAGUAUUAAGUUGAGUAAUUUUGAAAAUAAAUUGAGUAAAAGUCGAGUAAAUUUUUUGAACAAGUCGAGUAAGAGUUAUGUAAUUUUUAAAGAGAUCGAGUAUGAAGUCAGGUAAGUACAGUAUUUAGUCGAGUAAGAAAUGAAGCAGAUGAGUAAGUUGAGCAUCUGGUCAAGUAGGAAGUCGAGUAAGUACAUUAAAUGAGUCAAGUAUUAACAAUUUUUCAAAUAAAUUUAGUAAAAGUCGAGUAAAUAUUUUAAACAAGUCGUGUAACAGUUAUGUUAUUUUUUUAAAGAAGUUGAGUUCGAAGUCGAUAAGUCGAGUAUUCAAUAAAGUAAGAAAUGAAGUAAGUGAGUUGAGUAUGUCGAAUAGGAAGUCGAGUAAGUAGAUUAAAUAAGUCGAGUAUUAAGUUGAGAAAAAGCUAAGUAAUUUUUUAAACAAGUCGAAUAAAUGUCAAGUAAGUUUUUGAACACGUCGAGUAAGAGUUGAGUAAUAAUGUUGAGUAAGAAGUGAUUUGAUAAAGUCGAGUAAGUAUAUUGAAUGAGUCAAGUAU